UAAGUCAUUUUGCCGCAGCAUACACACGUCGGACGAGUACAUCACAUCUUUGGAGAUUUUGUUUUUCUUUUAUGCUUCAUUUGUUUGUUUGCUUCUUUUAGCUAAAUGGAACUGACAACGAAGUCUGCAAAUACGCAUUGGCUUAGAUCUUGGAAGCAGAGGGGACCUGGCAAGGAAGGAAGCAAGGAUAGGCCAGUUUUCAGUUAAGGAGGUGGUGUGGAGAAGAAUUGGGGAAAUCAAAUAAGGCAGCCCAUCUGCAAUACCUGAUUAUCCUUUUGAGUGUGGCCUCUUUUUGCCAAUUAAGUCCAAAGGUGCCUAUAUUCUUCAAACUGGCAGCGUAGCCACAACUGUUGAUUAUCGCACAGCUUUUGUGGGUUAGGAAUCUAGAAGUGAUUUAGCUGUGUGCUUCUGACUUGGUUAUCUCGCAAAUCAAGCUGUUGGCCAGGGCUGCAGUCGCUGAGACUUGAUUGGGGCUGGAGGUUCCUCUUCCAGGCUCCUUCCCAGUGGCUUUUGGCCAGAAACUGCACCAUCAGCCUUUCUUUAAGGCUCUGCGUGAUGUGCCUUCCCCACUAAUCUAAUCUCCGACGUGGUGUACGGUCAUGUCUGCUGUUUUUUCUUUGUGAGGAGACAGUCAUGAAGCCCAGCCCACACCCAGGAGGAGGGAAGAUAGGAAGGUCCUGAGCAUCUAUUGCAAAUCAGUUCUCUCACAGCUCUACAUUCUGCCUCCACAGAAUAAUGAAAAUAUAUAUGUUUUGGAAUCAAGGCAAGCAUCACAAGCCAGGUAGCCACACUGUGGACUGAAAGAUAAGUGGAGAGCCAGAAGAGGAAAACAGACCCAAGGAUGAUUAAUUUUCCCUGAACCAGAACAGCAUACUCUGAUCGGAGAAAACCAGCCUCACUUAACAUUUAACAAACCACUAUCCACAGAAUGAAUUUCCAUGGUAACCCAGGGCUGCAGAGUACCAAACUUCUGGAUCAGCCCAUUUUGUGCGUCCUGGUCACAUCUUGUGCCAUCUGACUCUUACUGAAUGUCUGCUGUGCGUAAGGCUUGUGGUGCGUCUCAUCAUUACCAGAUAGAAUUUGGACGAAACCCAACCACCCUCUCCAAUUCAAAAUGUACUUUAGGAAGAAGAUUGAGCAGAAAUGUAAUUCCGUUGCCUUGUUCAGAGACUGUACAAGCAUCCAUUUGGAAUGAGACACUACACAUUAAGCCUAGUCCUGAUGCUCCAGGCAGGCCCACUUCAGCUCGCUCUGUCGGCUGAAUCCAGGAUACUGGGAUGAAUAUAAUCACAUGUCCAACUGACUACACAGCCAGAGAAAGCUCGAGAAAAGCCAGGCUGAGAGUCAGGGCUGUGCUGUUCACAGAUAGACCUAAACCGAUCUGUCUUUUGACUGUGCAGUUGGGAAGGAAGGCUCCUUACAUUGGAUUGAGGUCCAUGACCCUCCAACAGCUGGAAGAGACUAGGAUGACACUUGGCCAAUAAUAACCUUGCCUUCAGAGACACGCACCAAGCUUACCAGUUGUCGGAAAUUCCCGCGAGGAGCUCUCACCCUGCACGAGUCUUGUCAGAUACAAAAAUCUAAAGCUGACUGAGGAUUUGCUCUCAGCUUGGCAUUCUGCCAGAAACUUUGCCAAGAAUUUGUUGCUUAAACUUUCCUCUGUCUCUGUGAUAUUGUUUUUAAUCAAUCCCAUUUUCCAGAGGGGAAAACUCAGGCUCAAAGAGAUGAAUUCACUUGAAUGGAGUCACGAGCUACACGGUGGUAGAACCAAAGUGGUCUGACCCCAGAGCCUACGCUCCUUUCAGCUCUGCUUUGCCGCCGCAAUCCCCAGCUCCUUUACUUGGCAAGGAGAAUUGUGUAUAUGGGCUGCAGGGCCCACACAGAGGCGUCUUCUUGGGCUCUCCUCUGCUCUGCCGGAAUAUAGAGGAGAGACUGACUUGGCUGAACCAUGGCCCUUUGUCAUUUGUGGAAAUGUGGAAAAAGGUAUUUGCUCCCUGCUGUUCACUGAUCUAAUUUGAGGAUUGAUUUGAUUCAUUUCUAAAUAGUUUUUACAAAUUAAUUUAGCAGCAGUGUGCUGUAGUGGUAAAGAACACAGGCUUAGGAACCAGCCUGCCUGGAAUGAGUAUCAACCCUGCCUCUUGUAGCUAAUGAACUUUACCCUUUAUCUAUAGGAUAAAGGUGAUCAUGGGUCCCACUCUGGACGAUUGCUGUGAAAAUUAAAGUGCUUGGAAGUGUACUGAGCAUAGAGUUAGCCCUCAAUUAGACAUUAAAAACGAUUACUUCGCUUGCUGUUUUCAGAAAGUAAGUGCACUUGCAAAAUCUCUUCCCUGGUAUGCUUUGGAAUUCAGAAUUUGGGGGAUUUGGGAGAGUAACAGGGUGUCCGUGCUGUAUACGCUCUAUGACAUGACUUCCUCAGUGGGAUCUGGAACAGCACAGCCGUGGUCAAACGGGAAUAUUUCUGCAGCAAAAUGUGUGACUUCUUACUCUCCGUGGGAUAAGCAGAGAUGGUGGUAAGUCUCCUGUCAGCUUUUGUGGCCAAGUGAGUUUGCCUGGCACUGUAAAUGAAUGGAUUAGCAAUGAGAUCCUGCUGUGUAGCCCUGAGAACUCUGUCUGGUCACUUAUGAUGGAGCAUGAUAGUGGGAGAAAAAAGAAUGUCUGCAUGUAUGUGUAACUGGGUCACCAU